GAUGAACGCUGGCGGCGUGCCUAAUACAUGCAAGUCGAGCGAAUGGACGAGAAGCUUGCUUCUCUGAUGUUAGCGGCGGACGGGUGAGUAACACGUGGAUAACCUACCUAUAAGACUGGGAUAACUUCGGGAAACCGGAGCUAAUACCGGAUAAUAUUUUGAACCGCAUGGUUCAAAAGUGAAAGACGGUGUUGCUGUCACUUAUAGAUGGAUCCGCGCUGCAUUAGCUAGUUGGUAAGGUAACGGCUUACCAAGGCAACGAUGCAUAGCCGACCUGAGAGGGUGAUCGGCCACACUGGAACUGAGACACGGUCCAGACUCCUACGGGAGGCAGCAGUAGGGAAUCUUCCGCAAUGGGCGAAAGCCUGACGGAGCAACGCCGCGUGAGUGAUGAAGGUCUUCGGAUCGUAAAACUCUGUUAUUAGGGAAGAACAUAUGUGUAAGUAACUGUGCACAUCUUGACGGUACCUAAUCAGAAAGCCACGGCUAACUACGUG
rnacentral:rRNA from 1 species